rnacentral:rRNA from 1 species
ACCGAACAAUAUCACACUCCAAAUUCCGUUAACUUAUACGUGAGAGUCAGUAUGUGGGUGAUAAGAUUCAUAGUCGAAAGGGCAACAUCCCAGAUCGUCAGCUAAGGUCCCUAAAUGUAAGUUAAGUGGUAAAGGAUGUGGGAUUGCACAGACAACCAGGAUGUUGGCUUAGAAGCAGCCACUCAUUCAAAGAGUGCGUAAUAGCUCACUGGUCGAGUGAUCCUGCGCCGAAGAUUUCCGGGGCUAAAACUUACUACCGAAGCUACGGCAUCAGUAAUGAUGGGUAGGGGAGCUUCCCAUACGGGUUGAAGCAUGACCGUAAGGACAUGUGGACAGUAUGGGAGUGAGAAUGUUGGCAUGAGUAGCGAGAUGUGGGUGAGAAUCCCACAGGCCGUAAACCCAAGGUUUCCAGGGGAAGGUUCGUCCGCCCUGGGUUAGUCGGGACCUAAGCUGAGGCCGAAAGGCGUAGGUGAUGGACAACAGGUUGAUAUUCCUGUACUACCGAUAACCGUUUGAGAGAAGGGAUGACACAGUAGGAUAAGCUAAGCACACUGUUGGUUAUGUGUGCCCAAGCAUUGAGGCAGUCAAAGUAGGCAAAUCCGCUUUGAUAAUGCUGGGAUGUGAUGGGGAGCGAAAUUUAGUAGCGAAGUAGCUGAUUUCACACUGUCAAGAAAAGUCUCUAUCGAGGUUAAAGGUACCCGUACCGCAAACCGACACAGGUGGGUGAGGAGAGUAUCCUAAGGCCAGCGAGAGAACUGUUGUUAAGGAACUCGGCAAAAUGACCCCGUAACUUAGGGAUAAGGGGUGCCACCAUCAGGUGGCCGCAGAGAAUAGGCCCAAGCGACUGUUUACCAAAAACAUAGGUUUCUGCUAAGUCGCAAGACGAUGUAUAGGAGCUGACGCCUGCCCGGUGCUGGAAGGUUAAGGGGAUCUGUUAGAGCAAUCGAAGCAGUGAACUUAAGCCCCAGUAAACGGCGGCCGUAACUAUAACGGUCCUAAGGUAGCGAAAUUCCUUGUCGGGUAAGUUCCGACCCGCACGAAAGGCGUAACGAUUUGGGCACUGUCUCAACAACAGACUCGGUGAAAUUGUAAUUCCGGUGAAGAUGCCGGAUACCUGCGACAGGACGGAAAGACCCCAUGGAGCUUUACUGUAGCUUGACAUUGGGUCUUGGUACUACAUGUACAGGAUAGGUGGGAGGCUUUGAAACCAGGACGCAAGUUUUGGGGGUGCCAU